GCCCUUGUAGUAUAAAUAUUACACUGGUCUUGUAAGCCAAAAAUGAAGUAAUAACUUCCAAGGACA
rnacentral:tRNA from 2 species